rnacentral:lncRNA from 1 species
GAAAUUCGGAUAAGCUUGCUGCAAUUUUAAGCCACACAUGUGACAUGUGCGGCUGACAUAAAUGGCAUGCAUAAACAAAAAAAGGAAAAUAAAAAUUAAAAAAAGAAAGAUGCCACGAAUUUACUCGAUAAGUCGAUCCCAACUCCUCAGCUUUACAAGACUUCAGAAAGCUCCCUAACUUUCAAGAACUUGAAGAUGCUAAAAGAAAUUAGCAAAUCUAAUUCUUGAAGAAAGCAAAAACUUUAAUUUUAUUAUUCUCGAAUGUAUGUUUACAACCUAUAGGUAAAAACUUUUAUAUAAGCUUUUUCUGAAAUAGUUAUAAACAAAUACAAACACUUGAAAGAUAAAAUUCUAUCCUAAAAGAAAUAAUAAAAUAUUAAUCUAUCCCAAUCUAAAAUUUAAAUCAAUAAUUAAAUAAUCUUAAAGGAUAGAUUUUAUAUUAAAAUAUUAAUAAGAAUAAUAUUUAAAAAAAGUAAGAAAUUAUCCCAUGUGUUUUUCAUGAAAAACACAUAGGGAAUUGAAGAGGGAAAGUCCAAAAAGUACACAAGGUGCGAGCUUGCCAAACCAGGCACGCGGGUUAGCCCGUGGAAUAUGCGCGAGUUAUAGUGAGUGGGCGCGCGGUUUGCUCCGGAUAAGGCAUGCGGGUUGCAUACAUGGACUGUUCCUUCUAGGUCAUUCGGUUCGUUGUACAGGUUGGCAUGUUCGCACACACACAGAUCGUAUGUCCUCGCCGUGCUUGGCGUGCUGUUGGGCUAUCGAAACGAAUUGGACGCUGACGUGCGCCUGGUUUGCUGCAUUGUGACAUCCCGUUACCUAAUGGAUAAAGGAGUUCAAUAACAGAAUAAAUAUGAGUGCAAAAUAAAUUAUGCAACAAAAGAAAAUCAUCAAUUACAAAAUAUUUGAUGUUCAAAUACACUUGAGGCCAAGAAGAUGAAUGACAAAAAUAUACACAAUAUUAUUCGAGCCACUUUUCUCAUUACAUAAAGAAUAGUUAUCAGAGUAUAGUUAUCCAAAUGCAAUGAAAAAUCCAUUAUAGAUCCAUGAAUGGAUAAACCAAGCUUCAAGGGGCAGCUCAGGAGGUAAUUUCUCACUAUCAUCAUUGUCUAGGGGGAAAUGUAUUGGGAUACUCAAUAAGGAAAAUAGUAUUCAAACUACACUACUAAAGUUUUAAAAGUUAUUUAUUUCAAAAUCAUGUCAUUAGAAACAAGUGACUUAUCUCUUGGACUUGUCGUAGAAUAUAUUCAUUUGAAAUAUUUACAAAACAUUUACUUUUUUUUUUAAACUAAAUCAGAAACAUCCGGCUUCAAGUUACAAUUAAAAGAAGUAAAGACAAAGUAGUGCACAACAAAAGAGUCAAUGCUACAGUAGGGUAAUAUAAUAGAAACUAGUUAAACAAACUAAACAUGACAUGACAUGUCAGAACAGUGAGCAACAUAAUGAAAACCAGUUGAAUUAACUAAAAAGCAUGACAAUGUCAUGAUAGAAUCAUGAGAAACAUAUUCUAUUCAAGGAAACUAUCAAAACAUGAGAAAUCAAUAAAUUAUUCUAGCUAUAUCAUCAAAUGGUUUUAAUUCAUUUACGGCUUUUAGAGAUAUACGCAUGGAAUUGUUUUAACUUAUAUCAACAGAGGGUAGAAGAGAUCCCCGACUACCACGGUGAAUGGAAAACAGUUCAAUUCGAUAUAUAGUAUAACAGUUGAAAACUAAUAAUCACGGUCGUAUUUCGCCACUGUGGUCCCUACAAUUAGUCACAAUUCCACUCUUAUUAGAGGAAAUGCUAAUACCAUUCACAGGGAAUGGUUCACCAACAGUCAAUAGUAGUCAAUUUGGUAAUCCCUCAGUGAUAACAGUCAAAUGAAUUUUCAAUCUUUCCACUUUUCUUAUCAAUUCAAAUAAUCAUUUAUCUUUAUCGUCUCGACUCGAUGGGGGUCCACAAUCUAAUCUUGACCCAAUAAAGAACCAUAUACCCAGAUUAGACCAUCAGGUUACCCUCCAAGUUAAGGCCCCAAAUGAGUAACCCUCUAAACCAUUGCUUCUGAAGCGAAGUUGAGGGUCUAACCUAUACACAUGGCAUAUUAUAUAAAACAAUCUCAAUAGGGAAUUCAUGUCUAUACACUAUACGAAAGUAAGAAUUCUAAAAUCAUGUGAUUUACAAUCUUUAGCAUACAUUACCAAUUCAUGCAAGAAUAACAACCAAGAAUUCAUACAUUUUGUCAUUCCUUAAAUGUUCUCUUUAUCUAGAAAAUAUAUUCAAAAGAGUACAUAAAAAUACUAAGAUCCCUUACCAAAGUUCAAGCUUUUGGUUUUCCCACAACAAGAUUGUUUAUAUAUUUUGAAGGAGAUGAAAAGGUCGUUUGACAACCAUGGGUUUUAGAAGAGAUUUUUGAAAGUUUAAGGUAAAGAGAAUCUAAGAAUGAGUUGUUAGAAAUUUUAGUGAAGAAACAAAAUCAAGAAAAGGAGGCUUACCGUGCAUAUGGGAAAGUUUUCUUGAUUUUCUUUGGCUUUGUCUCUUUCUACUCUCUCUCUCAAGUGGAAAGGAAGGAGGAAAUAUAAAAAAUGGGAGAAGAGAGGUGGAAGAGUGAUUUAAAUAGGCCAACAAGGGGCCUCGCAUGCGCACAAUGUGGCAGCUUCAUGGCGGCCAGCUCGGCGAACAAUGCAUGAACGCAACACACAGGAUGAGUCUGUUCGUGAGGCAUAUAGGUGGCUGUAUAUAGGCGGCUGACAGACGCGACGGGCUGCUAUGCUGGGUGGCUAUAGGUGGGUGCGUGGCUAACACGAUUGAUGAGACGCCCAUGUGGGCUGCAACAGGUGGGUUGGUGACGAGUGGCAGCCACAUGGUUAGGUGACAGAAUAGACGAGACAGCUUUUGUGUUCGCAAGCAUGCUGUAGGUGCAUGACUGAGGUGCGGUAGGUGACGGGAUAGUGAU